GGAGGAAUAUUGCACAAUGGGCGCAAGCCCGAUGCAGCAACGCCGCGUGGAGGAUGAAGGCCUUCGGGUCGUAAACUCCUUUUGAGGGAGACGAGCAAGGACGGUAUCCCUCGAAUAAGCCACGGCUAACUACGUGCCAGCAGCCGCGGUAAAACGUAGGUGGCGAGCGUUAUCCGGAUUCAUUGGGCGUAAAGCGCUUGUAGGUGGCCUUGUAAGUUGGACGUGAAAUCUCCCGGCUUAACCGGGCGGGGUCGUUCAAUACUGCAGGGCUGGAGGAUGUCAGAGGGCAGCGGAAUUCCUGGUGUAGCAGUGAAAUGCGUAGAUAUCAGGAGGAACACCCGUGGCGAAGGCGGCUGCCUGGGGCAUCACUGACACUGAGAAGCGAAAGCUAGGGGAGCGAACGGGAUUAGAAACCCCGGUAGUCCUAGCCGUAAACGAUGGACGCUAGGUGUAGGCAGAUCUAACCCUGCCUGUGCCGAAGCCAACGCGUUAAGCGU
rnacentral:rRNA from 1 species